GACGAACGCUGGCGGCGUGCUUAACACAUGCAAGUCGAACGGAAAGGCCCUGCUUUCGUGGGGUGCUCGAGUGGCGAACGGGUGAGUAACACGUGAGUAACCUGCCCUUGACUUUGGGAUAACUUCAGGAAACUGGGGCUAAUAUCGGAUAGGAUCUCCUGCUGCAUGGUGGGGGUUGGAAAGUUUCGGCGGUCGGGGAUGGACUCGCGGCUUACCAGCUUGUUGGUGGGGUAGUGGCUUACCCAGGCUUUGACGGGUAGCCGGCCUGGGAGGGUGACCGGCCACAUUGGGACUGAGAUACGGCCCAGACUCCUACGGGAGGCAGCAGUGGGGAAUAUUGCACAAUGGGCGGAAGCCUGAUGCGGCAACCCCGCGUGCGGGAUGACGGCCUUCGGGUUGUAAACCGCUUUCGCCUGUGACGAAGCGUGAGUGACGGUAAUGGGUAAAGAAGCACCGGCUAACUACGUG
rnacentral:rRNA from 1 species